GAUCAUGGCUCAGGAUGAACGCUAGCUACAGGCUUAACACAUGCAAGUCGAGGGGAAACGACAUCGAAAGCUUGCUUUGAUGGGCGUCGACCGGCGCACGGGUGAGUAACGCGUAUCCAACCUGCCCACCACUUGGGGAUAACCUUGCGAAAGUAAGACUAAUACCCGAUGAUAUCCCUAGAAGACAUCUGAAAGGGAUUAAAGAUUUAUCGGUGAUGGAUGGGGAUGCGUCUGAUUAGCUUGUUGGCGGGGUAACGGCCCACCAAGGCUACGAUCAGUAGGGGUUCUGAGAGGAAGGUCCCCCACAUUGGAACUGAGACACGGUCCAAACUCCUACGGGAGGCAGCAGUGAGGAAUAUUGGUCAAUGGGCGAGAGCCUGAACCAGCCAAGUAGCGUGCAGGAAGACGGCCCUAUGGGUUGUAAACUGCUUUUAUAUGGGGAUAAAGUGAGUUACGUGUAGCUUAUUGCAGGUACCAUAUGAAUAAGGACCGGCUAAUUCCGUG
rnacentral:rRNA from 1 species